CAGAAUUAUAGUUUAAGUAAAACAUUGGCUUUGGGAGCUAAAGAUCAAAAUAUAUUUUGUGUUCUGG
rnacentral:tRNA from 2 species